rnacentral:lncRNA from 1 species
UUGAUUUUUUAUUUUAUUUUAUUUUAUUUAUCUGUAGGUGUUGCCCAGGAUCGAACCCAGUGCUUCUGUGUGCUAGGCAGGUGCUCUACCCCUGAGCCACAACCCCAGCCCAGCCCAGCCCCUCCUUUUAUUAUUCCCAAUUUCCCCAUUUUUUUUUUUAGGUCAUCACUUAGGUAUUGAGGUUUCUUCCAUGUCGGAGGAGCUGGGAGUCCUUGGCCUCCUGAAGUCUUGAGAGCCGAUGGAGAAGGAAAACGUGCAUGGGGGAAUCAGACAAAAUCAAAUUUGAAAUUAGUAAUCCCUCCUCUGAGAGAUCUAUGGUGCUGGGACAACCUUUAUGGGGGAGACUAGUCGAGAAGGUUGGGGCUACAAUCCAAAAGCCGAACGGGAAGGGCUAACUUGGUGGGAGGGUGGACAGUAUCAACAUUGCCAGAAGGGGCGUUGAAAGACCUCCCCGAAUGUGGAGCAGACUGAGUGUAGGAAGAAGUAAGUGAUUUGGGACUUUGAGAGUUUGAGGAACCCUUUGAGGAUUUUUCCAGCAUGGUCACAGGGAGUGUAACUUGAUCGUUAUAUCUCUUUUUAAAUGAUUGCUCAGCAGUGGAGGGUUAAAUGGUCUCAGAGUUGGAGCAGGAAGGCCAGUUAGCCAGCCACAGAGUAUGUCAUCAAGGCAAGAGAGGAGGGCGACAGUAGGGAAGAACUCUAUUUAGCAAGUAAAAUGGCAGGCUUAUGAAUGAAUGGUGAAGGAGUGAAGGUAGGUAGCAAGAUUGACUCCAAGUUGAGGUCAUAGGAGAUUCAUUUAUAGAUUUCAGAAGCAUCGAAGGACACCCCUGAGAAAAGUGACCCCAAAUGAUUGAUCAAUCUAAAUGUAAAAGCUAAAACUAUUAAUUUUUAGAAGAAAACACAGAAAAAGUCUGACUUCAAGGUAGGCAAAAUUUUUUCUAGCAUACAAAAAGCAUGAAUCAUAAAUGAGAUGAUUGACAGAUUGAGCUUUUUCAAAAUGAAGUUUUGCUCCUGGAAGAACACUAUUAAGAAAAGGAAUCCAGA